UUGAAUUGCUGCGAUACCAUUUUCGCUUAGGAAAAUAGCAAUUAUUGAUAAAAAUGAAACAUGUAUUUUUCAGUAGAAGAAAUAAUUUUUAAUGAAAAAGAGCCUUACUAUAUGACACGAUGUUUAUCGAUUUUAACAGUUCAAAGCACUUUAAAUGGAUAUCCCUAAGGAGCAUCUCUAUAAUGCCUCAGUGCUUCCGGUCCUUCCUUUCUCGAAAGCACUGCGACGGCUGCCGGCAGCGUGGUUGUUCCUUUGGCGAGUUGGUGUCUGGCGCACAGCGCGAACGUCUCAUGAGCAAGAAGCCGUAGAGACGAUGCUCUCAAUGUUGGACACCGAAGUGAGGCAACUCAUCGGGCACAACGCCAAAAUGUCCCUGUUGUGUCCUGCUCCUGGGUCACGCGUGUCGCGCCUUGACAGCCGUGACCUUGAACGACCUUGACCGGCCGGGCCGGGCCGAGCGGCCGAGGGUCAGUAUCGUCCGAGCGGCGCUGGUGUCAACACAGCUGAGUGCCGCGAGGUGAGG